UCCAGUUCCUGUACGAUCACCAAAGUUAAACAACGUCGAGCCUGGUCAGUACCUAGAUGGGCGACCGCUUCGGAAUAAAGGUGCUGUAAG